UGAGAUUGAGUUGCUUCCACAAGACAAACAAGGUGACGUGGCACUCCAGCUGCUGCCAAAACUCCUCCCUGCUGUUCCCUACAGAGUUGGGCGAAAGGUGGUCAGACCCAGCAACCUUGAAGUCCAGCAAGCCUUCAUUGAUGUCCAGCCAAUUGGGACAAAUAUGGUGGAAUAUCUUGGAAGUACGGCAACAGAGCAUCCACGUGUUCUCAUGCUUGGGGACAGGUAUUGUUGUUCCCAAGCAUUUGUCGUCAUAAAUGGAACUGCUUUGGAAUAUCCAUCUCUUUUGGGGGCUGUUGACGGCUGUUUCAAAUCGUUCUUCGUUUUUGAUAUGAGUUAUCCGAAGUCGUGUGUCCAAAUUUGGGAUUUUCUCCAAACUGUGAUAUAUGAAAUCCCAGGAAACGAGUCACCCCCGAUAAAAUUAAUGAGGGCCCAGUUGGAGGCCAUGGAAGAAUAAAAGCAAUUCUUCAAUAACCCUUAAAUAAGUUUUAAAUGUUCUGAUUGAAAACCUGCUGGAUGUUUUGUUACUAUGUUGCUAUUUUUUUUCACAUUUCCUUCAAACUCUUUUGAUGAAAAUAUUUCU